rnacentral:lncRNA from 1 species
CUUCCCCACUUGAAGAUUCGUGUAGUAAUUUUUGUCGAACACAUCUGGUGUUACCGGGUCGAAAUUGGCUCUUGUGUUUGCUCCUGCUGAACAAACCCCUUCAAGGAAUUGCCUGUAGUUCGAAUCCAGUGAUGGGUCGGGGCUUCCAGUUCCGUUGAAAUUCGCAAAUCGGUGGCUGAAGAAUACGCAUCUCGAUCGUCCAAAUGUAUGCGCCCCUGUCCAUCAAAUUAAUUACUCACAAUUCCAUCAAUUGAUUUACUGCUCAAUUCAUCCAUUUCAUUUUACCAGAUAAAGCGACGAGAUCAGUGCUAUCCAGCCCAACAGCAGCAAAUUUGGCUUUGAGUUCAUCUAGAGUUUCGAAGGGACUGGCUAACCCACUAUCCGCCCCUGUUUUGUUAGCGAUUCUGCUAUCUCUUCUUCCGUAUAAAACUCUCCAGCUAGGCCCUCCUUGCUGACAAAAGGGAAACAAAGAAUACCCAUUUAACAAAAGAAAGAAGAAGAGUACUGUAAUCGAAUAAAUAUAUUUAUUUACCACAUCGACAGAGUCCUUGGAAGCUUGAGCUAGGAUGUCAGCACAGGAGACGAUGCCGGGGCAUUCUUUUUCGACAUCCGUUUUAAUGGCGUCAACAAUUUCAAGUCCUUGGAUUCCUUGAUUUCCAGGUGAGUUAAGCUCACUGACUAUGCCAGGAGCAUCCUCUAGCAAAACAGAGCCAUCGCAUCCCUACAAAAUAAGUUAAAUCUCCAUACAAUUAAAAGUAGAAAAAAAGAGAGAGAUGAUGAUGAUGAUGGUGAAAAAGUGUAGAGUUUUUGUACAUUGACGAAGCAAUCAUGGAAAUGGAGGCGAAUGAGUUUAGCACCGGCACGUAUGUCGGAUUGGAUGGCUUUCUUGACGGAGGCACGGACAAUGUUGGGGAGACGAGGGCAGGUUUGAUCGUAAUAGGUUUCGGAGAGUUGAGCAAAAGAGGAGCGGAAGAGAAGGGCAAGAAAGAAAAAGGAGGCAACGGCAGAGGCCAUGGUUGAAUUAGGAAGUGAGCAAAAGGUUGAGGAGUGGAUGCUGCUUUUAUAGAGACCAAAACAGAGUGGGAUUUGGCGGAGGCUGCAUAAGCAAAACCAACUAUGUAUUUUGAUAUUAAUGUUUAAGCAUAAGAUUCAAUUUUAUAAGUUAAUCCCAAUUUGUGACUUUCUUAUUAUUAAUAAUUUGAGUCAAUAUAACGUUCAUUAUUUAUAUUUAUCCAAUAUUGACUUUGGCUAUUUAUAGCCUCACAUUAACUUUUUUUUUUUUCUUCUUCUUUUGAGCACAAAUAGAUAUAGUUAUUUAAAUUUGUGAUUUGAAUUUCUAAUUUUUAAAGAAAAAAUAUUAAGUUUAAAUAUACUAAUUAUCUAUUAAUUUUUCUCUUCACCACUGCCACUGACUUAUAUAUAUAAAGAAGGUGGUGGAUUCCAACAAAUUAUUAAUAGAAUAUUAAUUAAUUUAAUACGUAUUACCAUUGUACGAGUUUUAAUUUUUUUAAAUCGAUUUUGGAUAAGUUUAUUAUAAAACAUUUACAUAGAUUGAAAAGUAUUAAAACUAAAAGAUUAUGAAGAAUUUGAACUUACUAUAUUACAACCGUAUUUUGUUUGGAAUGACAAUAUGGUGUAAAGUAGGAUGCCACGGUAUAUUAAUUGGGAUGACAAUUAAUAUAUUUUAAUUAUUCUUGAAUUAUGUUUAUUUGGUGUUUAUAGUUAUUUAAAAUAAAGCUACCAACAUUUUUAAAAAUAUCAAAAUAAAUUAAAAUAUUUAUAAGCUAUAACAAAAUUUUGUAUUGAGUGAUAGAAUUUGCUAUUUAAAAAAAAAAAUCAUAUACUUAAUCAAUUAGAUAAAUAAAUAAGAAAGUUUUUUAAAAUAGCAAAAUGAAACAUAAUGUUUAUAAAAUAUAGAAAAAUUUCAAAUAAUAUCAAUUAUUAACUUUUAUCACUAUCUACUGAUAACGUUGACAAAAAAAAGAUAAAAGUCUAUCUAUAUCUAUAUAGUUGGUAUAGUUAUAUGAAAUCUUGUUAUAUUUUCAAAUGUUUUAUCAUUUACAACAAUUUUUUUAAAAAAAUAAUUGAUUAAACAUAAUGUAAGGUACUUGUUUUAGUGCAUAUGAAUUUCAUAUGUAAUAGAAAAAUAUAUUUUUUUGAUGCCAAGAUGAACAUCGUUCAACUAACAUAAAAUUGAGUAUGUAUAAUGGGUUUCUCUAAUAGGUUUGAUUCAAAUAAAAAUAAAUAAAUUAUCUAAUUAAAUAGAUAAAUAAAAACUGGUUGGAGGUUUUUUAGGAUUUGAAAACAGCGUUUGUUCUUCGUAAUGAACGCUAUCUUCUACAUAUUUCGCUACUAAAUGACUUUCCUUCUUUCUCCAUUAUUGUCAUCUGGUUGUUGCAUAUUGACUAAUAUAAAAAGACUGCAAAGUUGAAAUAAAAAAUAAAACUAUAUCCUCCAUUCAUCAUCUUCUUUAGAUACGUUUAUUAACCUGUGUAUUGAACUCACCCGACAACACAAUAAGCUUAAUUAAUAUAGAAAAAGACGAAGAUGAAUCCAUGAAAACAAAACAAAAGAUGAGCCUACCCCUGCAGUUUUAUUCAUGGAAGAAAGCACAAACACCCAACUAAAUUAACACACACAUUAUGCUUAAUUAUAAGUUAUGGAUAUGAUGAACACCACAUAUGCAGAAACAGGCAGCUCAUUUUUUUAGUUUUACAUAACAUCGUGGCCUUCUGAUCCUUCUCCUUCUCCACCCAACAAACCAGAGUUUGAAUUAACCCUCCUGCAGUUUCUUCUAAUUUCCCCUUGUCCACCAGUCAAUGGCUUUAUAUUUCCCAUAUUGAUCAUCGACUGUCUGAACUCCUUGAAGAAUGUUCCUUCUCUUUCUGCAAAGCUGUUAACAAUGGCGAUGGUGUCAGCUCCAGGUGUUGAGAACAGCUCUUGAUCGCUCUGCAAAAGCCCCUUCCCCACUUGAAGAUUUGUGUAGUAAUUUUUGUCAAACACAUCCGGUGUUACUGGAUCGAAAUUCGCUCUUGUGUCUGCUCCUGCUGAACAAACCCCUUCAAGAAAGCUCCUGUAGUCUGGGUUCAAUGAUUG